ACAAGGGUAGUCUACAUCAGACAUCUGAUUUCGACCCAGAAGACCCUUAUAUUAUUUUAAGCCCUUGCA
rnacentral:tRNA from 1 species